GUCUAGGACCAUACCACCCUGAACACGCCCGAUCUCCUCUGAUCUCGAAAGCUAAGCAGGGUCAGGCCUGGUUAGUACUUGGAUGGCAGGAAAUGUAAUCCUUAGGGGGAGAUA
ensembl:rRNA 5S_rRNA 5S ribosomal RNA